ensembl:lncRNA novel transcript
CAAGUGCUCACUAUUCACUUGUCAACCAAUGCUUGUUGAACUCUUGGCCGGCGUGGGGUAGGGCACACCCCUGCCUUCUGCCUCUCGGGAAGCCAUUCAUUCAUUUUCAAGUACUUGUGGAACAUCCGGUGGUCAUUUUAAGGAGUGGGUUAGAGGCAUUUAGACCACAAUCUCCAUCAGUCUUGCCGUCCAAACUCGCCCUCAAAUAAAAACACAAUGUGCAACCUUGGCAGGCUCGGGUCUCCUGCCACCUCCUCUGAGAAGCCCCACCACCCAUGGUCUGGGGCGUGUCCCCCGUCGCUGGGAUACCUUGCUCACCCAGCUGAGCCUGCCACUCUUCUGUUGAAUCUGUUAAGCAG